CAUUAAAAAGCAGAGGCUCUGAUCCAGCUUUGCUGCCGGGAAAGGGAAAUGUCUGUCUUAGACAACAACGUUUUGGAUCUCGUCGACAAGAAUUCCAUUCCCAACUCUGCAAAGAUUAGACUUUACAUUAGGUCUGCCAAUACCCUCUUACCUCAAUGAGAAGGAUGAAGGUGACCAGGGUGAUUGGCAGAGCCUCGCCGUUUCUUCUGGAUUGAACUGCCAUUGCUGAUUCGAUCACAUCCAAGAACAAUCAAGGGAACAGAAUCCAUUUGAUGCUGGACAUUCUUCACCUUGGUGGUUUUGGGUUUCACUCUGUAACCCUGCUGUCCUGCAACUGACUAUAUAGACCAGGCUGGCCUUGAACCCACUUAAACUUCAUUUCCUUCUGCAUCCCAAAUGCUGGAAUUAAAGAGAUAAAGAAGACAACUUUCAUAUCUAACUGGAAGACAAUCAAGGAAACCUCUCUGAGAUCCUGCAUGGAACCUCCACAAACAGCUUCCUGUUCCACUGGAAUCAGAGGCAGUGGGGGGAAAGUCUCAAAUCAUCACAUGGAGAAACAACUUCUACUACUUUUAAACUCUGGUGAAGUGACUAACUUGAUGGUUGAAUAUGUGCUUCACACAUGUUCAUCAAUAUAGUAGAGUAAUAAAUACCCAUGAUGCAAAGAUUUCCAAGGAUCACCUUCUGCACUGCACGGUUAUUAAUAAGCCAAUAAAAUA
rnacentral:lncRNA from 1 species